rnacentral:rRNA from 1 species
AGCGAACGCUGGCGGCAGGCCUAACACAUGCAAGUCGAACGAAGUCUUCGGACUUAGUGGCGGACGGGUGAGUAACACGUGGGAACGUGCCCUUAGGUUCGGAAUAACUCAGGGAAACUUGUGCUAAUACCGAAUGUGCCCUUCGGGGGAAAGAUUUAUCGCCUUUAGAGCGGCCCGCGUCUGAUUAGCUAGUUGGUGAGGUAAAGGCUCACCAAGGCUACGAUCAGUAGCUGGUCUGAGAGGAUGAUCAGCCACAUUGGGACUGAGACACGGCCCAAACUCCUACGGGAGGCAGCAGUGGGGAAUCUUGCGCAAUGGGCGAAAGCCUGACGCAGCCAUGCCGCGUGAAUGAUGAAGGUCUUAGGAUUGUAAAAUUCUUUCACCGGGGACGAUAAUGACGGUACCCGGAGAAGAAGCCCCAGCUAACUUCGUGCCAGCCGCCGCCGUAACAC